GGGCCUGUAGCUCAGGUGGUUAGAGCGCACGCCUGAUAAGCGUGAGGUCAGUGGUUCAACUCCACUCAGGCCCA
rfam:Gemmatimonadetes bacterium 13_1_20CM_4_69_16 13_1_20cm_4_scaffold_93, whole genome shotgun sequence.